rnacentral:rRNA from 1 species
CAGCCGCCGCGGUAACACGUAGGGUGCGAGCGUUAAUCGGAAUUACUGGGCGUAAAGCGUGCGCAGGCGGUUUUGUAAGACAGGCGUGAAAUCCCCGGGCUCAACCUGGGAAUGGCGCUUGUGACUGCAAAGCUAGAGUGCGGCAGAGGGGGAUGGAAUUCCGCGUGUAGCAGUGAAAUGCGUAGAUAUGCGGAGGAACACCGAUGGCGAAGGCAAUCCCCUGGGCCUGCACUGACGCUCAUGCACGAAAGCGUGGGGAGCAAACAGGAUUAGAGACCCCCGUAGUCCCUGUCUCUUAUAC